UACGUAGGGUCCGAGCGUUGUCCGGAUUUAUUGGGCGUAAAGGGCGCGUAGGCGGUCACGCACGUCCGUUGUGAAAUCGCUCGGCUCAACUGGGCGGGGUCAGCGGAUACGGUGUGACCGGAGCAAGCUAGGGGGCAAUGGAAUUCCCGGUGUAGUGGUGGAAUGCGUAGAUAUCGGGAGGAACACCAGUGGCGAAGGCGGUUGCCUGGAGCUUUGCUGACGCUGAUGCGCGAAAGCGUGGGGAGCGAUCCGG
rnacentral:rRNA from 1 species